rnacentral:ncRNA from 1 species
CAACGUUCUCAGGGCGGGGUGCAAGUCCCCACCGGCGGUAAUUGCGCGUGCGCGCAUAGCCCGCGAGCGCCCGCCGCCAUGGCUGCGGGGUCAGCAGACCCGGUGCGAUUCCGGGGCCGACGGUCAUAGUCCGGAUGAAAGAGAGCGGGU